rnacentral:lncRNA from 1 species
CAGAAACCUAUGCUGUGUCAACUAUUUAAUCACAAUCCAAAUUUAGAGCUGAAUCCAGCUUGAAUGUUGUGUCCAUACUUGCCCCAACCGUUCAGGGUUCAACCUCUGCGGUCGUAUAAAGCUACGCCCUGCGGAGCAUCUGGUUAACAAUUUUCAUAAAAUUUGUAAAUUUUUAUUAACAUUUUCCACUGAAACUACUGGGCC